rnacentral:rRNA from 1 species
GCCUACAUGAAGCUGGAGUUGCUAGUAAUCGCGAAUCAGCAUGUCGCGGUGAAUACGUUCCCGGGCCUUGUACACACCGCCCGUCACACCAUGAGAGUUGGCAAUACCCAACGUACGUGAUCUAACCCGCAAGGGAGGAAGCGUCCUAAGGUAGGGUCAGCGAUUGGGGUGAAGUCGUAACAAGGUAAC